rnacentral:misc_RNA from 1 species
AAGUCGUAACAAGGUCUCCGUUGGUGAACCAGCGGAGGGAUCAUUACAGAGUUGCAAAACUCCCAACCCUUUGAUUUGAUCAAGACCUCCUUCUGCCUCGGGGGCGACCCGGCCCACGUGGUCCGCGGUCCCCCCGGCGGCGCACAAUUCCAACUCUGCAUCAAUUGUCGUCGGAUAUUGAAGCGAAUUCAAUCAAAACUUUCAACAACGGAUCUCUUGGUUCUG